UACGUAGGGGGCUAGCGUUGUCCGGAUUUAUUGGGCGUAAAGAGCGUGUAGGCGGCCAGGUAGGUCUGGUGUGAAAACCCGAGGCUUAACCUCGUGGCUUGCGGUGGAUACGGGCAGACUAGAGGUAGGUAGGGGAGAAUGGAAUUCCCGGUGUAGCGGUGAAAUGCGCAGAUAUCAGGAGGAACACCGAUGGCGAAGGCAGGUCUCUGGGCCAUAACUGACGCUGAGAGGCGAAAGCAUGGGGAGCGAACAGG
rnacentral:rRNA from 1 species